UACGUAGGGUGCAGGCGUUAAUCGGAAUUACUGGGCGUAAAGCGUGCGCAGGCGGUCUUUUAAGUCAGAUGUGAAAUCCCCGGGCUCAACCUGGGAACUGCAUCUGUGACUGCAUCGCUGGAGUGCGGCAGAGGGGGAUGGAAUUCCGCGUGUAGCAGUGAAAUGCGUAGAUAUGCGGAGGAACACCGAUGGCGAAGGCAAUCCCCUGGGCCUGCACUGACGCUCAUGCACGAAAGCGUGGGGAGCAAACAGG
rnacentral:rRNA from 1 species